rnacentral:rRNA from 1 species
GUAGCCGGCUGAAAGGCUACCGGCCUCACUGGACUGAGACACGCCCAGAUCUACGGAGGCAGCAGUGGGGAAUAUUGCGCUAGGGGGCGUAAGCCUGACGCAGCGACGCCGCGUGAGGGAUGAAGGCCUUCGGGUUGUAAACCUAUUUCAGCAGGGACGAAAACAGACGGUACCAUGCAGAAGAAGCACCGGCCAACUACGUGCCAGCAGCCGCGGUAAUACGUAGGGUGCAAGCGUUGUCCGGAAUUAUUGGGCGUAAAGAGCUCGUAGGCGGUCUGUCACGUCGGCUGUGAAAACUCGGGGCUCAACCCCGAGCCUGCAGUCGAUACGGGCAGACUAGAGUGCGGUAGGGGAGACUGGAAUUCCUGGUGUAGCGGUGAAAUGCGCAGAUAUCAGGAGGAACACCGGUGGCGAAGGCGGGUCUCUGGGCCGUAACUGACGCUGAGGAGCGAAAGCGUGGGGAGCAAAUUUUUAGAGUAGAUACCCUGGUAGUCCACGCCGUAAACGGUGGGUGCUUCCAGUAGGUCGUAUUCCACGCGAUCUGUGCCGCAGCUAACGCAUUAAGCACCCCGCCUGGGGAGUACGCUCGCAAGGCUAAAACUCAAAGGAAUUGACGGGGGCCCGCACAAGCAGCGGAGCAUGUGGCUUAAUUCGACGCAACGCGAAGAACCUUACCAAGGCUUGACAUGCAGGGAAAUCUCGUAGAGAUACGGGGUCCGCAAGGGCCCUGCACAGGUGGUGCAUGGUUGUCGUCAGCUCGUGUCGUGAGAUGUUGGGUUAAGUCCCGCAACGA